UACGUAGGGCGCAAGCGUUAUCCGGAAUUAUUGGGCGUAAAGAGCUCGUAGGCGGUUUGUCGCGUCGACUGUGAAAUCUCAGAGCUCAACUCUGACAUUGCAGUCGAUACGGGCAGGCUAGAGUUCGGUAGGGGAGACUGGAAUUCCUGGUGUAGCGGUGAAAUGCGCAGAUAUCAGGAGGAACACCGAUGGCGAAGGCAGGUCUCUGGGCCGAUACUGACGCUGAGGAGCGAAAGCGUGGGGAGCGAACAGG
rnacentral:rRNA from 1 species